GAGAAAGAGAUGAAAUGGGAGAGUGAAGCGAGAGAGAGAGAGAGAGAGAGAGAGAGCAAGAAAGAAAGAGGGAAGGAAGAAGAGAGAGAGUACCGCCCUUCAGUUGUGUUUAAAUGUGAGGCGGAAAAUCAUCUCUGUGGCUCAGGGGAGUGAAGAGGCGAUUCUAGUGUUAGAUGAGCGGGUUUGCCGUGCUUAAAUCAUAGCGCUCUCUCUCUUUCGCUUUUCGUUUGUCCUACAGUGUUUCUGAUUUCAGCUUCAGGCUUCAAAGUGAGAAGACAGAAGAACUGAGAGUUUCUACAAGACAACAAUACCUGGACACGGGGAUAUCUGGACACUUCACAAUGGAUGGAUUGAGGACAAAGUGUUGAGUUCUCCUACGGCUGUCCCUGAAUGAUACAGAGGAGUGUUGGGAUGUCGUGGCUGGUGUGGGUGUGGGUCAGUGUGACAGUCCUGCUGAUGUGUGAGGCCACUUUCUAUGAGACCAUCCAGCAGCACCUGGCCCCGCCUGGAACCAACAUACAGAUCCUUGGGGGAAAGGUUCAGGUAUUCAUCUCUCAGAGUGGCUGAAUCAAGAAGGAUUAAACCAUAACCCGGAAUAAAUCAAGUUUUAUCUACUACCUCAGUUGCAUCACACUUUCAACACCUUAAAAAUAAGGGUACAUUUAUUCCAUUACGUUCUCCUUGUUUUUAGUUUAUCCAUGCCUUAGUUUAACAGUAAACCUAAGCUACUUUAAAUCUAGUUGCUCUAGUGCUAUAAACUUUAGUUAAAGUGCCCCUAUUAUGCCAUUUCCAAUAUUGCCUUUCAUGCAGUGUGUAAUGUAGCUGUAUGUGUAUGAGUUGCAUAGCCUAAAGUGCACAUUAAAUAAAGUUAUUGUCUCCCAAAAGAAAGAAUCGACUCUGAACAGAGGUCACGGGGUAAUACAUUUGCAUAAUGCCUGCCUAUGUUCUACGUUGGCUGUAAUAACCCGUCCACAAAUAAUUUGACUUGCCCUCAAACACUGUAGCUUGUUUGUGUAGUUAACAUUAUGUUAAGAGGCUGUGAAAGUAAAUUCAUUGUAUUUUCACUUCUGAAAAAUGAGGAUGCACAGAAUCAAUGGUUAAAAUUCACAGCAGUACAACCCCAAUCUUUUUUGUGCUCCCUUCAUUUUACUGACGACCGCUUCUUUAAUCUCGGGGAGUUCAACACUUGCUCUUGAAAGAUGGCUCAGUAUCCUGUUUAUUUGGACCAGCUGGCUCCACUGAAUCACAACCUCUAAGCAAGAUAAGUAAUAGAUAUUUAUAUUUUCUAUCAAACGAUCAAAAUACGUAACUAUGGGUGUAUUGUUUCGGACACGCACUGUACACGGUAGACCAAUCACAACAGCCUGUGCCGUCUGACCAAUCAGAGCAGAGUAGACUCAUGGAAAGGAGGGGUUUAGAGAGACUGAAUCUUAGAACUGUCUCAGACGAAUCGUUU